UUGUUUUGUUGCCCUCACUGACUAACAUUUUCUUAAGCGCAUCCGUUUACAAGCAUUAAUUUGUUGUCAUAAUAGGUUUUAUGAUACAAAAAAUGUCCAAAAAAAGAUUCAAUUGGUAUUUUGUAUAAAUGAUUUAUGUAUGAUUUCCUUAUCUUCCUUGUUAUCUUGUUCCAUUCCACCAGGUUCAAUACCUGUCCAUAGGCGACAGAAGUGUUCUAUGGCUUCAGUGAAAACAGUCCCACAGACUUCUUUGCUGCCAUUUCAAAAAGGAAACUGACGAAAAUGUGUGCUGUUGAGUCCUCCUCCAACAUUAUUUAUACCAAGAUUCAUGAGAAACAUGGACACAUUGAUGCAGCAGCAGACAGACAUCGGUCCAGUCACACCAUCCUGUUGUGUGACCACAACUGCCAGUAUUCGUGUUCCAUCUUUGUCGACUUGGAGGAUUUCGUUGGAAGUUUCUACACACACCAGAACUUGUCCUGCC